CACACACACACAGACACACACAGGUGUGUACACAAACACAUGCACGUAUAAUAAAUAAAUAAUGUUUUUAAAACAAAGAAAGUACUUGAUAACUUCAUUCUAUUAAAUUAACUUCAAAAGCGUAAAUGUAGUGAAGACGCAGCUUUAGGUCCUGCAGAAAAGAACCUAUGGCCAGGAAGGGUUCAACACUCUGGGACUUUUGUCUAGGUAACAGCCAGAGUCUGCACAGCCCCGGAAGAAGGGCAUGUAGCUUCAAGCCUGCUAGUCCCACUCCGAGCACCACAACUGGGAAGGAUCCCGCCUUCCCUCCCUGGAAUCCAGGACUGGAGGUAGCUCCCCCCACCACCCCCACCGGCUGUGUCUGUAUAGUCAUUGCCUCACUGGAGGACAAGAGAGUUCUGUUUCCUGUUUGCUUGAGGGGUCAAGGUCCAUCUCGGUUUGCAUGUGACUCCUCCAUGCAGGUCAACUUUGCCGUGAAUGCUUUCCUUUGGGUGGAUGCCCUUCCCCUGUCACCAAUGUGCGUGGGAGAUGCCUGUCCCGAGUGCUAUGGGAGCCCAGAGAGGCCCGCUGGCUCCCAUGAACCACACAGCCCACCAGCGAGAGGCUGCUGCCCCUCACCACAGACUCCAGGCCCUGAGGAACAGGUUCCGCAGCGGAGCCACCUGCCGGCUCUGACUCAGGCACUGAUGAGGGAGCCUGCCAGAGCACCUGUUAAAGGGUGAGAGCAAUGCCAAGAAGCUGUGGAAUUCACUUGGAUAGCUACUGGGGGGUCACACGGCUCCCAGCAUGGCAGUGGCCUAAAAGCUGUGUCAGAGGAACUGUGUCUGAUGUCUUGGGAUCCCAUGCUGGAGGACUCACCCUGAAGCAGGAGGAUCCUGACCCUUCCUGGAGUGGGGUCACAUGCUCCCACGAGAGCAGUGUUUCGAGGUGAAGAGAGAGGAAUUAGGGUAGAGCGACAGAUGGUGCCCGAGGUAAUCACUAUUUGCUGCUGGAGGAAUCUGGAAGACUGCAGAAAAUCAGGUCAGGAAAACAAGCUCCGAAUAAAAAUGCUUGUCGUGUGUAGCAAAAGUCCCCAAGGGUAGCUCUCCCCUGUACCCCUGCAUUUAGCGUUUUAAAACACUUGUGUAUAUAUGUGCAGCUAUGUGAUGUGCACGAGGAGGCCAGAGGUCACCCUCCACUGUGGAUCUUUGAAUUCUUCCCACCUUGCUUUUUGAGGCAAGGGGUCUCGUUGGCCUGAAGUUUGCGGAGUUACGUCUGAACCAGCCAGCAACAAGCCCAGAGAUCCUCCUCCUGUCUCUUGCCUUCCUAGCACUGACUGAGAUUAUAUGUGAGCGCCACUAUGCCAGGGGGGAGGUUCUUGGGGGAGGGGUGGACUCAAGUUCCCAUGUUUGCAUGGCUUUACUGAACACCUGUUACUUGUGCUCAUCUUUGGCUUUUAAAUACAGUCUGCUCCAAACAAGGUCCAUUGCUGUGUUGUUGUGGAUGCUGCCUCCUACAGCAAAGGAGACUCGCACAAACUGCUGUCGUGUAUACAGCAGGGAUUCUUUGGUCACAGCUGUGAGUUUCCAGAAGAAGAAAACAGUCCACGGUCUUGAACACGGCCUCUCAUGUACCUCAUUGUGUCUGACACCGCAACCCAUCGCUCUGCUCUUCCUCCCAAGAAAGCACUGUGCACCUGUCUCUCCCCAACAUGGCAACUAUGUGAGGUAGAAAUCUUCCCCUCUGAGGGAGGGCAUCUCUGUGGGCCCAUAGUCCUUCGCACUGUUGGCCAUAGACCUGCACAUUCAUUUACAGUGGAGAGAAGGACUGUGCUGGCUUCCUCUCCUUGAUAACAGCAGUGGGCGGCACUCACUGGAAACUGGAAGCUGUCAGGGCUAUUGGAAGCCCUCUCUGCAUAGCUGGCACUUGGCUCAUUGAAGCCUUCUUUCCUCCACAGGGUAGUAGGGAUGAUGACACUUGGCCAGGGCAUCCCACUGCCCUUCCUGAGUAAACCUGUACAGUUUAGCUAUAAAGAGCGGUAACUCAGGUUCUUUGAGUACCUUGAGGUAUCGCUUGCAUUGGUGGCUUGGCUCAGUGAUACAUACGAAGGAGUCAGGAGAAGAGCAACAUCUGCAUCUCAACAUGACGUAACCUAGAAGAAUGAGCAGAAGAACAAUGGUUCCUAAAGAGGAGAGGAAGUGAGGAAGGAGGCAGGUCUGUCCGCUUCUCCUUGACACCCAUUACCCGGCGCUAGGAUACAUCUGUCACGUAGGCACACGGUGAAUGGGAUUUUUGAAAGUUCCUGUGGCUUCCACCUUCCUACUCUUCCCAGUCUCCCUCUCUUCGCAGCUUCCAGGCUGAUUGUCUCCCAGCGGCCACUGUGUUUCCUCUCCACAAAAUAAUCCAGACAUUUGGCCAAGAGCUGUGGUUUGAGUCUGGAGUUUUCCGCAUGGGGUCAUAUUUGGAGGCUUAGUCCCCAGCUGAUGGUGCUAUGUGGUAAGGCUGUGGAACCUCUGGGAAAUGGAGUCUUGCUGGAGAAAGUGGUCCACUGGGCAUGGGCCUUGACAUUUAACAGCCCCGCCUGCUUCCUGUUCAUUCUUGGCUGCCUCAGUACCGUGUCACCAGAUGCCUCCACCUCCUGCCUUUUCCACCAUGAUGGUCUGUGUUACCUCUAACCGUGAGCCAAAAGUAAACCUUUCUUUGCUAA